rnacentral:tRNA from 1 species
GCUGGGUUAGCUCAGUGGAUAGAGCGUCGGCCUGGGGACUGAAGGGUCCUGGGUUCAAUUCCCAGUCAGGGCA